UGCGUAGGCGGUGCGGAAAGUUGGGUGUGAAAUCCCUCGGCUUAACCGAGGAAUUGCGCUCAAUACUACCGUGCUCGAGGGAGAUAGAGGAAUGCGGAACUUACGGUGGAGCGGUGAAAUGCGUUGAUAUCGUAGGGAACACCGGUGGCGAAAGCGGCAUUCUGGAUCUCUUCUGACGCUGAGGCACGAAAGCUGGGUAGCAAACG
rnacentral:rRNA from 1 species